CAAUCUGUGCAGAAAGACCCCUCGUUUAUGUAUAAUUUUCCCCGCGACGUCCUCCUCUUUCCAACGAGAGUCCCCGCCCAUCUCUCUAUCGCUUUGCCUGACGGGGCGGCGGCAAUCCAGAUCCGGCGCAGAGCUUGAGGGCUAUGCCGACGGCAGGUGCUUGACUACAUCUUGCCGGAGACCAUCGACGUGCACCACGUCGCCGCCUUCUACGAGGAUGUACUCCGCUCCGCGCGCGUCCCUUCUCCCUAUGGUUUCCAGGUCGUCUGUCUCCUCCUCACGGGCACCCCCGCCGCCAUGGGCUACUGCACCCAGGGGGUGCGGGUGCCCCGCCCACGUAGCUGCCCAGGAUGCACCACACGGCCUUCUUGAAGCCCGCUUCUGUCACAUCUGCAACAAGGAGGAGCCCACCCUGCCAGCAGCCAAGCUGCAAGGGAAGAUGCUAAUAUGAACCUGAAGUCAAAGCUGAUGCCAUUUAUUAGCUUGGAGAUCGUUAAUCUCUCAAUGCUUUGGUUACAUUGAUUAGGAAACGUGUUAAUGAUAGUGAAGUUGCAGAGACUGUGGUGACAUUGCAUUCCACAUUUGGAGGUGCUGUGUAGUAGGCAGCAAAAUGGGUUGCACUGGACUGUUGCAUGUGAUUAGUUCAUUUUAGGAGUUCAGAACAGGUGGUUAACAAAGGAAUGAUGGACUGGAACUGUUACUUUGUUUACUUGUAGUUUUCUGUGUCUAUGCUAUUGUCCGACUGAGGAUUUCGUCUUUGAUUGGCAUCGUAGUUCAGCGAUGUUCAAAUUUCUUCAUAAUACUUUUUGUACAUCCCUCGUUUGAUGUUGUUUGCUAAAAUCCGUUUGUAGCCAUGGUGUCGGUCAAAUGGUGUUCAAAAUAUAAAUGUCGGAGCUGCUACCUCAUUUGCAGCGAUUAAUUUCCCAGUGCUUCUCAUUGAUGAUUUCAGUACACCGGAAAAGAACCAAUCAUUCUCUAACGAGGUACCCACACAGCUGAAUUUUAAUCUAACAUAAUUUCUUAUAUCUGUCCAUGUUUAAGUCCCUGAAUUUAUUCAUGUCUGAUAGGACAUUAUACACACUUAUCACAUGUGUCACUUGCCUUUAAAUCAAAACUCUGUUGCAGUUUUCUUAUUCUAUAUGAGCAUUCAUGAAUCAUGCUUUUCUGAUUGCUUGGGAGACAACUGAACUUUGAUAUUUAAACAAUCAGAAGUUGUAACUUGCAACACCAUAAAAUUGCACUUUCACUUUUCCAAUUAUACAAGAGAUUCGUCCUUGCUGUGAAUAUAUUUUGCCAGAUGGUACUCCUUUUUCUUUUCUCUAGCCUGACAUACGUCUUUGUGCUGCAGCAUUUUAACAGGGUUUCUAUCAUUUGUGGUGAGUUGUUCCUUUUCAUCAUGUACGAGUUUAGAAAAGCAAACGAACUUCAGUUCCAUUCUUAAUUGUUGAACACCUACGCGAUUAGGACACGAGCUAUUAUUCAAGUCUAGAAAUUUGUAGUAUAAAUACGAAGUAAGCACUAUGCCACUACUGCAAGCAAUUCUUUUGGGUCUGUACACAACCAAUGUUGGUAUUUCACUUGCAAGGGUGCAGUACUUUGUUCACUGUUUCGGUUCUGGCAAUUUUACUUAACUUUCAUGCUAGUUACCUAAAUAUGAUAUUCCAGUGCUUAAAAUACAAAAGCUAUGCUUUUACAACAUGUUGUAUUUUAUCACUUACAACUGUUUAGUCCACCAAAGAGCAUCAUUUCUAAUUUCUUGCCAUGUGAUGUAAACCACAGAAAUGUGUUUGCAGAUUGAUGAGACGAAGAAUCAGGAGUACAAAUGGAGAGAAGAAGCAUUUAGGAAAGGCUUCCCUUGCUUACCAACCACGUGAGCGAAACUAAUUUGUCUGAUAAUUUUAAUUUAUUUAGUAAGCCUAUGCAUACAGCCGCACAGACUCGUGCUGCUGAAUCAUACUUGUUUGGUGUGAUCUCUCCCUUCAGAUGAAACAAGAUGAGCAAGAAGAACUUGAGCUAGAGGCAAAGGUCAACUGACGUGUUCUCUAUGUACCAUGAAGAUAGUAAACUGAUGCAAUUUUAGUUGCAAUGGUUCUCGGUCAUGUACUAAAAUGGCCAUCUCAUGUUAUGUUACAUUUGAUAUGCAUGCAAGUGGAUCAGAAGGACCCAGAAAAUGGAUACCUUGCUGAAAUCCAUUUUCACCAUUAUAUUCAGAUGUGGGUGUGUAUUGCCAGAUAAAGUUAAUGUUGGCUUUAAUUUAAUAUGCAUAAUUUUUACGAAGGAAAA